GGCAAAAAGGAGGCGCGCGAGUGGACGCUAGGCGGGCCGAGUGAAGACUGACAACUGAGCCACGCCCACAGAGCUCAUCGUUACCUGGUUAGCUCAGGCUAAGGAGCUAGGCUAAAUGCUACCCGUGACUGCUAACCGGCUAGCGCUGCGGUGUUGUUGCUCCGGGAUGGUCGCGGUCGUAACAUCGAACCGAACAGAGUACAUCAGUUUGGCUGAAAUCUGGGGUGCUUCCACUUGCUGAACACAGAAUAAACUCACUGCAACACCUGAUGUCCUCAGAAUCCACUGUGGCAGCAGCAACAUGGUGGAGAUCAGCAGCUUCAGGCUGGUCAACAUGWUAAUAAUAUUGAGUCAAUUUCUAUAUCCAUUGUGGUUGGCAAAAUUAACACUAUCACAACAAUGUUCAUCUUUUACUUUCUGAUUUGAGAAACCUUAGAUAAAAAGUGUUGUCUUUUCUUUUUUGCCAUAAGAGACAGAACACGGUCAGCACAGCUGUGUCCCACAGGUUCGUCCGUCCCUAAUAAAAUGACAGGAAACAUAAAAGUAUGGCAUUAUUGCAGAGAUAAGUUACAUUCAAACAAAGUCUGUGUCCUUAUAUUCUGUGGAUAUUCAAGUAUGUAUCUGAAUAUGGUUUGGGAUUAAACAGUGUACUACAAUGAAUGUGCAGUAUGGAGUUCUUUCACAUUAAAAGUAUUGCAUAUAUAAUGUAAUGCAUCAUGUGCAAUAAUUUGCUUUAAUUGUUAGUAAGUUAU